GCUUGAAAAGAUAUUCAGAAUUUUAGGGGUCAUUUUAUUACAUACAGUUGUAACUGCAUAUAAAUAUAAAUUCGGUGUUUGAUUUGACGUAUGUAAUGCAGUAGGGAUUGUAGGAGAAUGUUCAACUACAAUAAUUGGAACUAUACCCAAAUUAGCCACAGUUCCAACUACAGCAGUUGGUGAGAGUAACUUUAAACAAAAGGUAUAUUUAACUUAAUUAUUUUUUAAAUAAAUUUUUUUUUUCAUAUUGGAGAAAAUCUCACCAUCAUAUAUACAUAUAUAAUGAUAAAAUUUUAAAAAUUAUUUCUCAACUGCAUGCAACCAAACAAACUAUUUAUAGUUGCAGCGCUUUCUACUACAUCAAACAAAAUAUGAUACAUACAGCUGUUGUAUAUAUUUUCAAUUGCAUGUAUUUCUAAUUACACUGCAUAUGUAAUUACAUAAAAUCAAACAACCCCUUAACUAUAUCUAUAAAAAUAAAUAAUAUAUUUAAAUUUUAAAGUUAAAAUAUCGUUAACUAAUCUAAAACAAACAAAUUGAAAUGUUGGACAGUAAAUCUAAAAUAGUCAAUA
rnacentral:lncRNA from 1 species